UACGGAGGGUGCAAGCGUUAUCCGGAUUCACUGGGUUUAAAGGGUGCGUAGGUGGGCAGGUAAGUCAGUGGUGAAAUCUCCGGGCUUAACCCGGAAACUGCCGUUGAUACUAUCUGUCUUGAAUAUCGCGUAGGUAAGCGGAAUAUGUCAUGUAGCGGUGAAAUGCUUAGAUAUGACAUAGAACACCAAUUGCGAAGGCAGCUUACUUCACGAUCAUUGACACUGAGGCACGAAAGCGUGGGGAGCAAACAGG
rnacentral:rRNA from 1 species